rnacentral:rRNA from 1 species
ACGAACGCUGGCGGCGUGCUUAACACAUGCAAGUCGAACGGUGAAGCGCCUUCCUUUUUGGUGGGUGUGGAUGAGUGGCGAACGGGUGAGUAACACGUGAGUAACCUGCCCCCUUCUUCUGGAUAACCGCAUGAAAGUGUGGCUAAUACGGGAUAUUCUGGGUCUGUCGCAUGAUGGGUCUGGGAAAGAUAUUGUUUCGGUGGGGGAUGGGCUCGCGGCCUAUCAGCUUGUUGGUGGGGUGAUGGCCUACCAAGGCGGUGACGGGUAGCCGGCCUGAGAGGGUGGACGGGCACACUGGGACUGGGACACGGCCCAGACUCCUACGGGAGGCAGCAGUGGGGAAUAUUGCACAAUGGGCGCAAGCCUGAUGCAGCGACGCCGCGUGAGGGAUGGAGGCCUUCGGGUUGUGAACCUCUUUCGCCAGUGAAGCAGGCCUGCCUCGUUUGUGGGUGGGUUGACGGUAGCUGGAUAAGAAGCGCCGGCUAACUACGUG